ACGUACGCUGGCGGCACGCCUAACACAUGCAAGUCGAACGAAGUAGCAAUACUUAGUGGCAGACGGGUGAGUAACAUGUGGGUAUCUGCCCUUUGGCCUGGAAUAACACGAGGAAACUUGUGCUAAUACCGGAUAAGUCUUUACGGAGAAAGCUUUAUGCACCAUUGGAUGAGCCUGCACUUGAUUAGUUUGUUGGUGGGGUAAUGGCCUACCAAGACUGUGAUCAAUAGCUGAUUUGAGAGGAUGAUCAGCCACAUUGGGACUGAGACACGGCCCAAACUCCUACGGGAGGCAGCAGUGGGGAAUCUUGCACAAUGGAGGAAACUCUGAUGCAGCGAUGCCGCGUGAGUGAAGAAGGCCCUUGGGUUGUAAAGCUCUUUCGUCGGGGAAGAAAAUGACUGUACCCGAAUAAGAAGGUCCGGCUAACUUCGUGCCAGCAGCCGCGGUAAUACGAAGGGACCUAGCGUAGUUCGGAAUUACUGGGCUUAAAGAGUUCGUAGGUGGUUGAAAAAGUUAGUGGUGAAAUCCCAGAGCUUAACUCUGGAACUGCCAUUAAAACUUUUCAGCUAGAGUAUGAUAGAGGAAAGCAGAAUUUCUAGUGUAGAGGUGAAAUUCGUAGAUAUUAGAAAGAAUACCAAUUGCGAAGGCAGCUUUCUGGAUCAUUACUGACACUGAGGAACGAAAGCAUGGGUAGCGAAGAGGAUUAGAUACCCUCGUAGUCCAUGCCGUAAACGAUGUGUGUUAGACGUUGGAAAUUUAUUUUCAGUGUCGCAGGGAAACCGAUAAACACACCGCCUGGGGAGUACGACCGCAAGGUUAAAACUCAAAUGAAUUGACGGGGACCCGCACAAGUAGUGGAGCAUGUGGUUUAAUUCGAAGAUACGCGCAAAACCUUACCAACACUUGACAUGUUCGUCGCGACUCUAAGAGAUUAGAGUUUUCGGUUCGGCCGGACGAAACACAGGUGCUGCAUGGCUGUCGUCAGCUCGUGUCGUGAGAUGUUGGGUUAAGUCCCGCAACGAGCGCAACCCUCACUUUUAGUUGCCAUCAUUAAGUUGGGCACUCUGAAAGAACUGCCAGUGAUAAGCUGGAGGAAGGUGGGGAUGACGUCAAGUCCUCAUGGCCCUUACGUGUUGGGCUACACACGUGCUACAAUGGUAUCUACAACAGGAAGCAAGACGGCGACGUCAAGCAAAUCCCUAAAAGAUACCUCAGUUCGGAUUGCACUCUGCAACUCGAGUGCAUGAAGCUGGAAUUACUAGUAAUCGUGGAUCAGCGUGCCACGGUGAAUGCGUUCCCGGGUCUUGUACACACCGC
rnacentral:rRNA from 1 species